rnacentral:lncRNA from 1 species
UCAACGUAGUGACGUAUUUUAUAUAAGUUAUGUAUUCUAUCGAUAUGAAUUCUGAGCCUGGAUUUGAUUACUAUUCUAGGCGGCGAUCGUCAUGACGCCUUGAUGUGUGGUGCUAGGGAGUUGUUGGACGAACUCCAGGUGAGUGGGCAGUUUUGUUUUUCCGUAUAUAUAUAUACUUGACGUUUCCCAGAAAUUGAAUUGAAAUGAAAAUAUGUUUAAAAUGAAAUGCAUAUGAGUUAUGUGGAAAAACGGGAAGUGAAAUACCAUGCAUAGAAUUGAUAUGAAAAGUAUAUAGAAAUGUGAGUUGAAAUGCCAUGCAUGAAUUAAUAUAUGAUGCAUAUGUAUGAAUUGGUGCGGUGGACGCACAUGUAAGAAUUGAUUUAUGAUGCAUAUGUAUGAAUUGGUGCGGUGGACGCACAGGUAAGAAUUGAUUUAUGAUGCAUAUGUAUGAAAUGGUGCGGUGGACGCACAGAUGAGUAUUUAAUUACUGUUAUGAUGAUGAUGAUAUAUAUUGAGCUCAAAUCCUGCACCAUGGUUUAGUGCUUAUAGUAUUCACCGCAUCGCACGCUCGCCUUGGAUCCAAGUAGAUGCUAGUCGUACAGUCCACGCGGAGUGGGUACGACAGACCAGUCGCGAGAGUGUUAGUGAGAUUCCGACUGGUGGGUGACCUUAGAUUAUGUGCACAGAUGAUUUAUGAGAAGCACUAGAGCGUAACUUGUGUGCAGAAGGCCG